rnacentral:rRNA from 1 species
AUUGAACGCUGGCGGCAUGCCUUACACAUGCAAGUCGAACGGCAGCGGACCUUCGGGUGCCGGCGAGUGGCGAACGGGUGAGUAAUAUAUCGGAACGUACCUUUUCAGUGGGGGAUAACGUAGCGAAAGUUACGCUAAUACCGCAUAUUCUGUGAGCAGGAAAGCAGGGGAUCGCAAGACCUUGCGCUGAUUGAGCGGCCGAUAUCAGAUUAGCUAGUUGGUGAGGUAAAGGCUCACCAAGGCGACGAUCUGUAGCGGGUCUGAGAGGAUGAUCCGCCACACUGGAACUGAGACACGGUCCAGACUCCUACGGGAGGCAGCAGUGGGGAAUUUUGGACAAUGGGCGCAAGCCUGAUCCAGCCAUGCCGCGUGUGUGAAGAAGGCCUUAGGGUUGUAAAGCACUUUCAUUGGGGAGAAAGGCUGUUUGGUUAAUACCCAAGCAGAUUGAUGUUACCCAAAGAGAAGGACCGGCUAACUCCGUGCCAG